UACGUAGGUGGCAAGCGUUGUCCGGAUUUACUGGGCGUAAAGAGCGCGCAGGCGGUCGUUCAAGUCGCGUGUGAAAGCCCCCGGCUCAACUGGGGAGGGUCACGCGAUACUGAUCGACUCGAAGGCAGGAGAGGGUAGUGGAAUUCCCGGUGUAGUGGUGAAAUGCGCAGAUAAUCAGGAGGAACACCGGUGGCGAAGGCGGUUCUCUGGGAAUGUACUGACGCUGAGGAGCGAAAGUGUGGGGAGCGAACAGG
rnacentral:rRNA from 1 species